rnacentral:sRNA from 1 species
CAGCGCGAUCGCACCUCUGUCACAGCGUAGCUACGGAGUACAGCGGCAAGACGUAAAUCUACCUCGACCGUCUUUGGACGUUUUUUUCGAGACCCGGAACUAAUUAUAAAAAGAGGCAGUCAAUCUACAGGUCGGCGCUGUAACCGGGACAGGUUCAUUGACGCGGCUAUCAUUCUUCGGCGGCCCACGGCACUAAAGUGUUUCGUGUUAAUCUCGACGAGAAGGAGAAAACUCUCUAUCAACACUGUAGCGGCUUUUAAUUGAACAGACAAGAAAGGAACAAUGGGUUGCCAAGGAUCAAAGUCUACACAAGCUUCAGCAGGAGCAGCUCAGGGCGGAGAGCCAAGUGAACCCGCUCAACAAGAGCAGGCAGCACCCGCAGGGGACGCCACUGAACAGAGGGAUCAGAUGUUUGAGCUUUUGUUCGGCUCUAUCGAGUUGGGAAGAGUCAGGGAUUCUCCUAUAUGAGAACUGAAGCCAGUGAUCUCAUUCUGUACAAAGCACAUGUGAUAUGUAUAAAAUUGACAUUGAUUCUAGUAUAUUAUUAUAAAUCUGCCAACAAUACUACAAGGUCUUCACUUUAUGUACAACUCCCACAGAUUCAUUGAAUCCUUAAUAUAUGAACAAGUUACUACUUCAAAAUUUAGAAAAAUAAGUCUUUUUAU